rnacentral:tRNA from 1 species
GCGGGUGUAGCUCAAUGGCAGAGCAGAAGCUUCCCAAGCUUACGACGAGGGUUCGAUCCCCUUCACCCGCUCCA